rfam:Brachypodium distachyon strain Bd21 chromosome 1, whole genome shotgun sequence.
GUUGUACUCCCUCCGUCCAACAAAGAAUGUCUCAAUUUUGACCAAAUUUAAAUGCAUCUAUACACUAAGUCAUGUCUACAUACAUUUAAAUUUUGACCAACCUGAGACAUCUUUUAUUGAACGGAUGAAGUACCCA